rnacentral:lncRNA from 1 species
GCCGAACACGUGCUUGCCAUAAACCUGCCUUGGUCACGUAGAGGUCAGAUGCUUGUCUUGUGACAAGGAACCAAUCGGAAGUUAGCUGGUGGCGCUAUGCUUUACGACCCUGGGUGUGCUUUACGGACAAGCGCACGACAAUGACGUAGAGAGCAUAGCAACCACCCUGGGAGGGCCUAUGAGCCAUAACAACCAGUUGACCAAUCAACACAGGGCAAGCCCUCCAAGCCUGGAGGCACACCAAUCGUAAGCCUGUGCGUACCCCUAGACACUCCCCUUACGCUGCCCUAUAAGAUCUUUGGGGAGACCUUAGGAGCCGUCUUUUUCUAGCUGUCCACCAUGGCGGGUGGGUGAAAGACCCGAGCUAACAUGGGGUUAGUUCGUUAAAUUACAAUAAAGCCUCGUGCAGUUUGCAGCAAGCUCUCGAAUCCGCCUGGUGAUUGGGGUGACCGCGAACCUGGCCUGAGACCCCGGAUACUUGAGUUUUCGGGGGUCUAACAUUUUGGGGGCUCGUCCGGGAUUUGCGACCACCCUUCACCUGAGUGGAUUCGAUCUUGGAGGUAAGAUGAUUAGAGCUCGCAACUUAUAUAUGUUCAAUGUUCUAUGUUUCUUGUUUUGUCUCUUGCUGUUUUGUUUGAAUUUGUAAUUUGUAUUUGAUCUGCGCAGAAUUUGUAAUUGAACCAUAGGGUAAGCAGACUUGCGAGAACCUUGGUUCCACCCUGGAUGAAAGUCCAAGGUUUGGUUGUAAUUUUGGUUUGGGGCACCAUUUCUUUGCCGCGGUUUGUCCUGUCUAAUGUCUGUCCUGUCUAAUGUCUCCAUGUCUCAUAUUUGUGGCAUGCAUGGGUCAGGGGUCUUUUCUUGUUGCCCUAAGCACAUGGCACGGGAAAGGAGUUCUGCCAUGUGUCACGGGUUAGAAUGUGUUAUGUUGGAGUCCCCCGAGGCUGCUUUUCUGAACUCGAACCACUGCUGCAGCCCUUACAGCUGAGCCUGGCCCAUUUUAUAAUGUCAGACAGACUGCCAGAUCCGGACAGUGACCCAAAGUCUCCAAAGAAGAUUACGAGGCACUUCAGUUCCUGCACCUGGACCAGUGAGCAAGAUGCUCAGAUAUGAUACCUGCCGCCUGCCAGAACCU